rnacentral:rRNA from 1 species
GUGCCAGCCGCCGCGGUAAGACAGAGGGUGCAAACGUUGCUCGGAAUCACUGGGCGUAAAGGGCGUGUAGGCGGGAAUGUAAGUCGGGCGUGAAAUCCCUAGGCUCAACCUAGGAACUGCACUCGAAACUGCGUUUCUUGAGUAUCGGAGAGGAAAGCGGAAUACCUGGUGUAGAGGUGAAAUUCGUAGAUAUCAGGUGGAACACCAGUGGCGAAGGCGGCUUUCUGGACGAUAACUGACGCUGAGACGCGAAAGCGUGGGGAGCAAACAGGAUUAGAAACCCGCGUAGUCC